GUGGAGCAAAGAGCAAAGUUUGAAAGGAGCCAACAGUUUUAUACUUCACUCUACAAAAACCAAAUUGCUUAAAAAUAGGAUACCUUCUGUAGGUGCCAUUCAUUGAAUCUUCUGUCCAAAAUCCAACAGGCAAUAUAUACCCACUUAGUUCCUAGGUAGGAGUGGCUUGGUUCAAAGAGGGGAAAUGGUAAAAAAUAAGAUAGUACCCGUAAAAAAACAACUUUCCUGCCUCAUAUUUUCCUAAUCCCUUACUCCUAAUCACCAUCACUUAAAAAAAGAAAACCUGUUUAGGACCUAUGGUACACCUUAAACUAUAAGUGGCCUAAAGCAUUCACAGAAGGAAUAGGUCCAUGAUAAGACUUAAGAACGUCUGCAUAAGACUACAAGUUUCUGGUGUUUAAGUGGGCUAUCUGUACCUCAUACUCUCUUAAACUUUGUGGAGAGUCUUUGAUCCUAAGAACCGUGAAACGUUGCUGAAGAAAUAACACAGAUAAACAGAGAGUAAUACAAGAUUAAUGGACUACACUGUGCAGGACACAGCUCUGAAAGAAACAAGGAUAAGAACACUGCCUGUCAUAUGGCCAAUGUAAAUAUGAAUCCAGACAGCAUUACUGCUGGCUUUACCACCUCCACCAAAGUUCUUAAGAGCCCUCCAGAGUAACAAAGCACUGAAUCUCACCAGAUGCUGGUAACACUGUGGUCCACAAGGCUUGUUGUCCAAAGCUGUUUCUGUGUUCUUCCUCUUAUAUGUGUUGGGUGUUGCAUGGAAGGCUGUAAAAUAAGCACAAAGUACCUGAAUAUGGCUAUAAAAAGUUUACUUUUUCAUUUCCCCAGAGCCAUUGGAAAAUCCAGUAUCUCCCACAUAUGUAGUUUACUUUCUACAGCUUCCCCCAUCUCUCACAGGGUACCCUCCACUCUGCCUCCAACCUCCAAGAAAGGUGACGACAUGGUAAGCUCCGGAAUGAUUCAUAAUUCUUAUUUUCCCUAUGCAAGUUUGAUCUAUGGGAAUAAAGUAUGACUAUAGACAUUUACUUGAGUCUUUAGUAUCUCCAACAAGUGAAAAAUAUUGAAAAAAAAAAACACAACAGACUUUCUAAUUUUACAAAAAUAUUCUGGCAUCUACAAUUUCUCUGUCUAGGGAGGCUUUUUAUAUUUUUGUUUUUUGAACUUUGGGGGUGGGGGUGGGGAGGAGGGGUGAGAUAGAAGGGUGGUAUCUUUCCCAGGCUGGCUUUAAACUCAUAGCAAUACUCUAGCCUUGCCCCCUGAGAGCUACAAUUAUAGAUGUGUAUCACCACAUCCAGCUCUGACAUAAUUACUUGAUUUCUAGCUGAAGGAUCAAUUUAUUAAACAUGAACUAGAAAAUGGUUCUGCUUAUAAAAUUUCUAGAACAAAGAAGCUUCAAUAUCUGGAACUCAAUUCUAGGGUGUGUUAACCAGUUGUUUUCUCACACAAUGGAAAAAGUCAAUGCUUAAAACUAACUAUUCAAGUCGGGCGUGGUGGUGCACGCCUUUAAUCCCAGCACGAGAGGCAGAGGCAGAGUUUGAGGCCGUUGGUCUACAGAGCUUGUUCCAGGAGAGCCAAGGUUAUAGACAAAGAAACCGGAGUGGGGGGAUGGGGGGAUNNNNNNNNNNNNNNNNNNNNNNNNNNNUGGGGGGGUGGAAUGACUGAUACUAUUUAUUCACUGCAAAUUUUAGGAAUGGGGAUGUGGCUUACUGGGAGUAUAUGGGAUGUAUUUUAGAGUGUUCAGGGAUGGGGGUGUGUCUUAAUGGGAGAGUGUGCAGGGAUGGGGCUGUGGCUAUAUAGUCUAGUGUGUGCCCAGCAGAGGCAAGGCCCUGGGUUCAAUCUCUAAUACUACAGAAAACAAACAAACCCACACACCAGCCUGUAGAGAAUUCCAACUUUAGUGGGAUAUGGUGGUAUGCUCCUGUAAUUUUAGAGCUCAAGAAGUUGAGGCAGGAGAAUCAAAAGGAUCAUGAAAAUCAACAGUUCAAGGCUAGCCUCAGCUACAUACGGAGUAUGAGACACUAUUUCAAAAAACACAAAACAAAUUCCAGUUACCUGGAAAUUUUACCAAGAAACCUCAUUUUCUAGAAAUGCCAAAGGAAAAAAAUUAGUUUUCAUACUGACAUUAAGGAUAUUUUAUGUUUGCUUGUUUUGAAAUAUGAAGUACUUAUAAAACAAUUAUUUGAAGGAUCAAAAUGAAACAAAAAUAUUUUAACACUAGGCAAGUAAUUGUUUGUAUAAAUGCCUUUUCACCAAUUCAUUAACUUAACAAAAUUUGUUCAUAAAUAUCUGUAAUACUGCUCUGAGCUCCUUCACUGUAAUAACUUCAUCAUAAAACAGCCUUGUAAAGAGUCACUGAGCUUCAAGUUAAUGGGAAGCAGCAAAUGGAAUAAAAUGUGUACAAAAGAUGUCAGAGGAAUCCUCAGAGUGUAAAAGUCUCAGUACAGGGAUGUGACAUAUUUCUCAAUCCUCACUCUAAGAUUGGCCGGUACAUUUUGGUUGUGGUAACUGACAGCAAGUUGCUUUACUACAGAUUUCAACAACAAAGAUAGAAA
ensembl:lincRNA Gm26625 predicted gene, 26625